CAGUAGCCACGGUAAUACGGAGGGUGCAAGCGUUAAUCGGAAUUACUGGGCGUAAAGCGCACGCAGGCGGUCUGUCAAGUCAGAUGUGAAAUCCCCGGGCUUAACCUGGGAACUGCAUUUGAAACUGGCAGGCUGGAGUCUUGUAGAGGGGGGUAGAAUUCCAGGUGUAGCGGUGAAAUGCGUAGAGAUCUGGAGGAAUACCGGUGGCGAAGGCGGCCCCCUGGACAAAGACUGACGCUCAGGUGCGAAAGCGUGGGGAGCAAACAGGAUUAGAUACCCCUGUAGUCCCUGUCUCUUAUAC
rnacentral:rRNA from 1 species